GCCAGGUGUGGUGGUGCACACCUGUAAUCCCAGCUACCUGGGAGGCUAAGGCAGGAGAAUCGCUUGAACCCAGGGGGCGGAGGUUGCAGUGAGCCGAGCUCACGCCACUGCACUCCAGCCUGGGUGACAGAGCGAGACUCUGUCUUAA
rnacentral:SRP_RNA from 1 species